AUUGAACGCUGGCGGAAUGCUUUACACAUGCAAGUCGAGCGGCAGCGCGGGGGCAACCCUGGCGGCGAGCGGCGAACGGGUGAGUAAUGUAUCGGAACGUACCCAGUCGUGGGGGAUAACUAUCCGAAAGGAUAGCUAAUACCGCAUACGACCUGAGGGUGAAAGCGGGGGACCGUAAGGCCUCGCGCGAUUGGAGCGGCCGAUAUCGGAUUAGCUAGUUGGUGAGGUAAAGGCUCACCAAGGCGACGAUCCGUAGCUGGUCUGAGAGGACGACCAGCCACACUGGAACUGAGACACGGUCCAGACUCCUACGGGAGGCAGCAGUGGGGAAUUUUGGACAAUGGGGGCAACCCUGAUCCAGCCAUUCCGCGUGAGUGAAGAAGGCCUUC
rnacentral:rRNA from 1 species